GCGAGAGUUGCCCAGCCCGGUCAAAGGCGCCGGACUUAAGAUCCGGUAUCGAAGGAUUUCGUGGUUUCGAAUUUCAUCCCUCGCA
rfam:Methanosarcina barkeri str. Fusaro, complete genome.